rnacentral:rRNA from 2 species
UAGGGAAUCUUCGGCAAUGGACGAAAGUCUGACCGAGCAACGCCGCGUGAGUGAAGAAGGUUUUCGGAUCGUAAAACUCUGUUGUUAGAGAAGAACAAGGACGUUAGUAACUGAACGUCCCCUGACGGUAUCUAACCAGAAAGCCACGGCUAACUACGUGCCAGCAGCCGCGGUAAUACGUAGGUGGCAAGCGUUGUCCGGAUUUAUUGGGCGUAAAGCGAGCGCAGGCGGUUUCUUAAGUCUGAUGUGAAAGCCCCCGGCUCAACCGGGGAGGGUCAUUGGAAACUGGGAGACUUGAGUGCAGAAGAGGAGAGUGGAAUUCAAUGUGUAGCGGUGAAAUGCGUAGAUAUAUGGAGGAACACCAGUGGCGAAGGCGGCUCUCUGGUCUGUAACUGACGCUGAGGCUCGAAAGCGUGGGGAGCAAACAGG